rnacentral:lncRNA from 1 species
UGAAUAUGAAAAUAACAAAGAAGUUCCAGAGCUACUGCUCCUCAGUUAGAGAAAACAAUUCUCUCACUGCCCAAACCCUAAUAUGAAAAACAGAAAAAAUUCGAUGCUUAGCUACUGCCCCAUACACUCCUAUUUAUAUGGGGAAUAAUAACUAACUCCUAUUUAUUUGGAAAUACUAACAAACUAACUAAGACUCCUAUUUAUUUGGAGAAUACUAAUUAACUGGGCUUCUUAUUCUUU